GCUCUAACAGUCCCCUGGACCCCGACAGUUCAUCAAAGGGCCAUUCAAACAGACAGCCCCGUCUCCACACCUGCGCUCACACACUUGGUUUUAUCCUGUGUGUGUGUGUGUGUGUGUUGUCCUGUACACGAAAGCCACCUACAAAAGUAUUGCGUGUUCCUAGGAGCUACUCAUAGUUCCUAGAGUCGAAAAAGCCACAAGCAGGAAGUGUAACGUUAGAAUGGUCACUACCCAGAGUUCUAUAGUUCUUUGUACACCAAAGCUGCCUUGAAAAAAAAGUUGAACAUUAAAAUGGAGACCAUCCAGUCCCCGUAGGAGGAAGAGGAAGGAGCUAUCCAGUCCCCGUAGGAGGAAGAGGAAGGAGCUAUCCAGUCCCCGUAAGAGGAAGAGGAAGGAGCUAUCCAGUCCCCGUAAGAGGAAGGAGCUAUCCAGUCCCCGUAAGAGGAAGAGGAAGGAGCUAUCCGGUCCCCGUAAGAGGAAGGAGCUAUCCAGUCCCCGUAAGAGGAAGAGGAAGGAGCUAUCCAGUCCCCGUAGGAGGAAGAGGAAGGAGCUAUCCAGUCCCCGUAAGAGGAAGAGGAAGGAGCUAUCCAGUCCCCGUAAGAGGAAGAGGAAGGAGCUAUCCAGUCCCCGUAAGAGGAAGGAGCUAUCCAGUCCCUGUAAGAGGAAGAGGAAGGAGCUAUCCAGUCCCCGUAAGAGGAAGAGGAAGGAGCUAUCCAGUCCCCGUAGGAGGAAGAGGAAGGAGCUAUCCAGUCCCCGUAAGAGGAAGAGGAAGGAGCUAUCCAGUCCCCGGAAGAGGAAGGAGCUAUCCAGUCCCCGUAAGAGGAAGAGGAAGGAGCUAUCCAGUCCCCGUAAGAGGAAGAGGAAGGAGCUAUCCAGUCCCCGUAAGAGGAAGAGGAAGGAGCGCAGGACGUGUAGCGAGGCGCCCCCUACAGGACAGAUGUCCCAACUGCAGCCCUGAGUCUGAGGGGUGAUGGGAUCAGGUGAGGCCCCUCGGGGAGAGGCCCCAGAUGUGUGUGAGGCCCUCGGGGAGAGGAGAAGACCCAGGUGUGUGUGUGAGGCUGUGUCGGGAGAGGCCCCAGAUGUGUGUGUGAGGCUGUGUUGGUUCAGGAGAGGACCCAGAUGUGUGUGUGAGGCUGUGUUGGUUCAGGAGAGGACCCAGGUGUGUGUGAGGCUGUGUCGGGGAGAGGAGAGGACCCAGGUGUGUGUGAGGCCCCAGGUGUGUGUGUGAGGCGUGUCGGGGGCGGUGCAUUAGCUGGGGCGGAUCUCCAAACUGAGACAGAAUGAGAAGCAGGUGUGAAAGUGGAGACGCCCUCUGACCUCGACGUGUGAACUUUGACCUCCAUCUUGCUAAUCCUCACUAGAGCAGGACCAGUCGAGGCCACAAUACAGUACUUCUAUCUCCCUCUUCCCACACACACACACGCGCACGCUCACGCUCUUGUGGAGCAGAAUGAAGUCUGAGCUC
ensembl:lncRNA